UACGGGGGGAGCAAGCGUUGUUCGGAUUUACUGGGCGUAAAGGGCGCGUAGGCGGCCUGUGCAAGUCAGUUGUGAAAUCCCCGGGCUUAACCUGGGAACUGCAUUGGUGACUGGCAGGCUUUGAGUGUGGCAGAGGGAGGUAGAACUCCACGUGUAGCAGUGAAAUGCGUAGAGAUGUGGAGGAAUACCGAUGGCGAAGGCAGGUCUCUGGGCCACUACUGACGCUGAGAAGCGAAAGCAUGGGGAGCGAACAGG
rnacentral:rRNA from 1 species